ACUGAAAGCUGCUGUAGAGAAGAUCUGCCUUUUCCAGACUGUCCUUCCCAAUGCAGGCUCCACACAAAAUGUCAUGUCCUGAGGACACCCAGACAGCUGAAGGACAUGUCAGCAUGGUGAGAAUCACAGGAUUGAGAGAACUCUUCUGGGGCACUUUGUGACCUGUCCGUUCUUGCUUUCUGCUGAAUCUGCUUAUGCAGGGGUUGGCUCCUGUCAAGGCCUCGUGUUACCUGGCUGCUUCCAAAACUUCUGGCUCAGCACCUCAUGUUGAUCAGGAAAAUGACUUACCACCAACCAAAGAAAGAAAUUGUUUUCUGCUACUCAUGUAAGAGGAUUCAUCCGGGGGCUGGUUGUCGGUCUGCUCAGGUUGGGGUCCUGCUUUAGCAAGGUGUUGGGUGCAGGGCACAUAAGCCAUGGCUUUCUGUUUCUGCGUUUUUUCUAAAUGAGUUCUUGUGCUAAAAUGUUUGAAAAUUUGCAUCACCCUAUGCCCUUUCAUUAGGCGUGAUUCUAAAAUUAACCCUAAGAGUACUGAAGCAGUGGGUGUUGAACUUUGCCUAUUGCUCUAGACAGGCACCUAAUGUAUUCAAAGGCUUGAAGGAAUGACAUGCACAUGAGUGUCAGCUGAUGAGCACUUUCACUGCCUUUGUGUAUCUCACACCCCUGAAUCUGCCCAUGGUUUUAUGUAUGGGAAGACCAGUUUUAUAACAUGAAAUAUUUAAUUUAUACAGAUUAUGACACUAACCUAUAUCUGCAGCCUCAUUUCCCUAUUUUCCAACCACACUGAAUUGAUUACUGAUUAUUAAAAUUACCAGAUCUUUGUGUAACUGUACAUCCUUCAGUGCUUUCCCUUUCUUUCAAAUACCUUGACCUUUCUUUGCAAGGCAGACUUUUAUAUUGCUGCCAAGAGCCUGGUCAAAUGAUUCCCCUCUGUGAAGCUGUGCAGAGUGUCUGAGGCAGCACCCACCUGCUCUUUAAUCUACCAUAAUGAUUGAUACAUUUCUUCAGUUUGUUUAUCUGUUCAUUGCUACCCUAAAAAUAAAGCAAUUUGUCCAUUGCUGGAUUAGUUGAAUCCAAGACACAAAACCUACUUGGGGUUUUCAGUGAAUGCUUUGCUGCAACCAGAACUUCUUUCACCACUGAAGGACUAAAUGUUCCCCAGCCUCUAAAGAGGUGUGAUGCUUGAAAGCUUAUGGUGUUAGCCCUCUCUGUGAAGUCUUAAACUGAAGAAAGCUCAUUGAAGACCAUGAUUUCCCCCAUUCCUGAGCAUCCAGUAAUUGAUCCAUGAGGUGAAGACCCAACUCCUUUCUCCAAUUUAGGACAACUCUGAAAGACCACUGGUUGCCCUGAGUUCUUUGUCAUGAUUUCUUAGGUCUCGCUGUGGCCAUUCUUCCUCCUUACUUUCCACUACAAAUGAUAUUCUAACAGCCU